GGAGUGACUGUAGCUCAGUGGUAGAGCACAUGCCCUGCAUGCAGAAGGUCCCAGAUUCAUCAAUCCCUGGCACAUCCA